CAAUUUGUACUUUUUAUUAGUACAUGGUCGUGGUACAUGAUGAUCAAAUUCCUCGUGAAGAGUUGGUACACGUACAUAACACAUCUCAAUGUUUUCAUCCCUUCCCUUCCCUUUCUUUCCCCUUCCCUCCCUCUCUAGGUCCCUUUCCCAUUUACAAAUGAUCCAUCUCCUUACUUCCUUUUACGUAUCUUUUAUUUUGCUCUUCAUUUAGAUUUUGGGAUAUUAUUAUUAUUAUUAUUAUUAUUAUUAUUAUUUUCACAUUUAAGCAUCUAUGUAUUUAUUGCACUAAAUCAUCAAAGUUCACCAGAGUCUAAAACCACAGACAGCUUUUCUAGUUAAACAUUUGGUGUUUCUAAGAAGCACACAGAUUUGUUCCACUGUGAAAAGAAUGGGGAGCUUCUUAUCAGUAAGUGUCUUCUUAUAGGAGGGCUCAGCUAAGGACCCCAGCACGUGACCUCACAAACAGAACAUGGAGCCCUGUCAUCAGGCACCACAGUCUAGUGACAACUGUCUCCCCAGUCAGUUGGCUGAAAACAGUCAGCAGCAAACAUGCUGUGGAGCUUUCCCAGGGCUCCUGGUCGCAGCCACAGGACUCCACGCAGGGAAACCACUUGGCAACGAGUGAGAAGAUGGUUCACUUGGCGCAGAAGCUUCAGGACCCUCGCCAGGAACUGUCCAACAGUCAUGGGCAGCACAGGGCAGGUCUCACCAGAUCAAGCCCAUAGAUGCCCAGAGACAAGAGAGAGCCCAGGACAAGUGUCCCUAGGUUCAGCCACCAGACACUUGGAGCCACUGAUACCUGGACAGAUUGGAAAUCAGUCAACCGAGAGCUUGGCAGGGGUCUGCACAGUAAGCACGGUGCAGGCAGGGAUUCCUCACACUCCAGUGGAGACCCUGGGGCAGGACUUCCAGGAUAACAAGAGCAGGUGGGUGGCAUCGAUCCAUGAAUGCAUAUGAAGGGACACUAUGUGCAGAAACAUUGACCAUGAUCCUAGAAGCAGAGCAGAUGCCAUCACUGCCCUUUUGGGUUUCAAUGUUGGGGGCCACAAAGUCACCCUGGGCAACAGUUCAGAUAUUCCUCACACUAAGGUA
rnacentral:lncRNA from 1 species